rnacentral:rRNA from 1 species
AACGCGAAGAACCUUACCUACCCUUGACAUGCCAGGAACUCUGCUGAGAGGCGGAGGUGCCCGAAAGGGAGCCUGGACACAGGUGCUGCAUGGCUGUCGUCAGCUCGUGUCGUGAGAUGUCGGGUUAAGUCCCGCAACGAGCGCAACCCUUAUCAUUAGUUGCUACGCAAGGGCACUCUAGUGAGACUGCCGGUGACAAACCGGAGGAAGGUGGGGAUGACGUCAAGUCCUCAUGGCCCUUAUGGGUAGGGCUUCACACGUCAUACAAUGGCGCAUACAGAGGGUCGCCAACCCGCGAGGGGGAGCCAAUCUCAGAAAGUGCGUCGUAGUCCGGAUUGCAGUCUGCAACUCGACUGCAUGAAGUCGGAAUCGCUAGUAAUCGCGGAUCAGCAAUGUCGCGGUGAAUACGUUCCCGGGUCUUGUACACACCG